rnacentral:lncRNA from 1 species
CUAAAAUCUCUCAAAAUUUUAGAGAUAUCUAGUUUAUUGCUAUUUUUUUUUGUUUUCAAUAUAUCCAUCAUUUGUUCGUCUGUUAUUCAAAAAUACCCCAGCACUUACCACCAGUUAAGUUAUCUCGCGUUAAACAACUUUUUUAUCUUUAACUUAAGAGUAAAUAAAAAAAAUUAGUGACAGUAGAAGGUAUAUUUGAAAAAAUAAAAAAUAAAAAUAUUUUUUUGUUCCUAACUUAAGAUAAAGAAGAAAAGUUUGUGACGGCAGAAGGAUAUAUUUGAAAGAACAAAAUAGUAAUUUCACAGAGAUAACGGCUGUUGCUAACCAUUCACGAGAAUUUAACUCUUGAAAUAUAUUUGAAAUAAUUUGGAAUAUAAAAGGGCAUUUUUAAUAUUAGUUUUUUAAGAAAGAUAAUAAAAAAAUUAGAAACUUUUCAGAAAUACAUAAACAAUUUUCCCCAAAAAAAAACACUUUUUUUUUUUGACUAUUUGGUCAAUAAAUUAGAAGAGAGAGAGAGAGAGAGAGAGAGAGAGAGAGAGGGGUAUAAUUAUUUGUAGGAUUGAUUAAUUGUA